rnacentral:rRNA from 1 species
UACGUAGGGUGCGAGCGUUAAUCGGAAUUACUGGGCGUAAAGCGUGCGCAGGCGGUUUUGUAAGCCAGAUGUGAAAUCCCCGGGCUUAACCUGGGAAUGGCAUUUGGGACUGCAAGGCUCGAGUGCGGCAGAGGAGACUGGAAUUCCUGGUGUAGCAGUGAAAUGCGUAGAUAUCAGGAGGAACACCGAUGGCGAAGGCAGGUCUCUGGGCUGACACGUGACGCUCAUGCACGAAAGCGUGGGGAGCAAACAGG